rfam:Lottia gigantea unplaced genomic scaffold LOTGIsca_42, whole genome shotgun sequence.
AGACAUUUUGACGGGUUUCGCGAUUUGCGAACAGUCUAACGGAUUGUGUUCGUUGUCGACGAAACCUGCCUUAAGCCC